AARCCUAAAUCUGUCAAGUCUUUGAAUUUGUGUUUUCAUUCAUUUUUUUUAAGCUGGCUGAAUGUUGUAUUUUGACAUACAAAUCUUGCUUGGAGCUUUGAAGUAAUUUUAACCAGCUUUGGUCCUAUAGGUUUCCGUCGGCUGUUGUCCAGAUGACCCUACUCUUUUUUUCCCUCUCACUCUCUCUCUUUCUGCUGAGCAAGUCCAUCUUACAGAGGAUCAAACUGUGAAUCUGACUGACCUGGCUAGUCUGGCUUCCAACACUGUGUUCCCUGAUUCAUCUUCUGCCAAGCCCUUCAAGUUAUUCAUCUGGAAAGAAUAUGCAUUCAUCAUUGUAUUUUUAAUCACACCAAAUAGAUAGACAAAGAGAAUGCCUUGGGGAGACGGGGAGCAAUCUACAAUUCCCAGAGCUCAGAUGCUCCACUGAAUAGCAGCUAAAGGCUUGAUUGCAUAAUCCUAGUUUGACACAUCUCCGACCUCAUGAAAGCCUGGUCGAAUUGUUUGGCCUUGCCAACCCCUUCACAAAUGAGCAGGCUCAUCCCUUCAUUCUCUAUUCUUCUGUGUUCAUUAAUAAAUUAAUUUAUCAGCUCGU